AGAGACUCAAUAUACAUUCAUAUCAGCUGUUUUUCACUGAGGAGACCAUAGGUGGUAUUUUGUAUAAUAGUUUUAAACUAACACUAACAGAAAUACAUGAAUAAUACAUUUUACUAUGACACAAUGGAAUACACUGUAUUAGUACUGUAUAGGAAUGCAGCAAGAACACUGUAGUAUAGGCCUUCACGAGUGCUUGAAGCGUCACUACAGACCCGGGUUCGAUCCCAGGCUGUGUCACAACCAGCCAUGACCGGGAGUCCCAUAGGGCGGCGCACAAUUGGCCCAGUGUCGUCCGGGUUAGAGGAGGGUUUGGCCGGGGGGGGGGGGCUCAUCUUGCUCUAGCGACUCCUUGUGUGCGGGCCGGGCGCCUGCAGGCUGACUUCCGGUCGUCAGUUGAACAGUGUUUCCUCUGACACAUCGGUGCGUCUGGCUUCCGGGUUAAGCUGGGAGGGUGUUAAGAAGUGGGGUUUGGUGAGUCACUAUGUGAUCACAUUCCAGGACUUAGAUUUAACUUUAUUAAUAUUCUACAGUAUAUGAUCACAUUCCAAGACUUCAAAAUAACUUUAUUAAUAUUUUACAGUAUGUGAUCACAUUCCAGGACUUCAAAAUAACUUUAUUAAUAUUUUACAGUAUAUGAUCACAUUCCAAGACUUCAAAAUAACUUUAUUAAUAUUUUACAGUAUAUGAUCACAUUCCAAGACUUCAAAAUAACUUUAUUAAUAUUUUACAGUAUAUGAUCACAUUCCAAGACUUCAAAAUAACUUUAUUAAUAUUUUAUAGUAUAUGAUCACAUUCCAAGACUUCAAAAUAACUUUAUUAAUAUUUUACAGUAUAUGAUCACAUUCCAAGACUUAGAUAUAACUUUAUUUAUCUUAAAUGUGUUCACAUUCCAAGACUUCAAAAUAACUUUAUUAAUAUUUUAUAGUAUAUGAUCACAUUCCAAGACUUCAAAAUAACUUUAUUAAUAUUUUACAGUAUAUGAUCACAUUCCAAGACUUAGAUAUAACUUUAUUUAUCUUAAAUGUGUUCACAUUCCAAGACUUCAAAAUAACUUUAUUAAUAUUUUACAGUAUGUGAUCACAUUCCAGGACUUCAAAAUAACUUUAUUAAUAUUUUACACUGUAUGAUCACAUUCCAGGACUUCAAAAUAACUUUAUUAACCUCAUACAGUAUGUUGUAGCACUCCGUUUUAGCUAACUCAUAGUAGCUCUACUCUGUAUUUUACAGUUGGGUUGUAAAAUUCCAUUAACUUUCCCAAAAUGUCCCAGGUGUUCUAGAAAUCCUGCUUGGAAGAUACCAUGAAUUUAAAUGGAAUUAACAGUCCUCUAACCAGGAUUUCUGGAAAAUGUGGGCUGUGGGAAAACGAGUGUAAUUUUGAUGGCCUAUUUCCAGCUAGUUGUAAUACAACAGGACAGAUUGCCUCAGCAUUUCAGAAGCUUUUACCUCCCUGCUUUUACUGUCGGUUAAUAUUUCAUCUACUUCCUCUGUUAAAAUCCCCAAUGCCGACACACACACACACAGUAUAUACACGCCACAGAGCUUUUAUUCUGCACUUAGAGGCCUUGCGAAGGGGGGGGGGGGGGGGUGUACUGAGUGUCGUGACGGGGAUCAGUGAGAUGAAAACGCGUGUCUCUUGUCUCUCCCACAGGACACGGUGUCUAAUACUGGGUCAUACUUUAGACUCUUGAUGUAAUUGCAACACAGUUAGCUCUGAGAGGAUUUGAUUGGUAUUAGCAAUAUAUGGGCAAACUUCCACCUAGCCAAUCAGAGGGCAAGGUGGAAGCUAUUACCAUAUUGCGUACACCUGUCAAAUCCACUCAGAUCUCCAUAAGUGAAUGGGACGUAGGGUUUAGGGGUCCAUUUGGUGAUUGGGCCCUGUGUAUUAACACUGUCAUACUGAUAGAGGGGGGUUGGGGGGGACUCACCCCAUGUUUUGUUUAGGACUUUGAGAGCUAUUUAUUGUUCUAUUAUUUAUGUACUCUAUCCACUACGGUCACAUGAUUUGAAUUUAUCUGAAAAAAAACUAAAGUCUUUCAAAAUUGGAAGAAAACUCUGUGUUUGUUCAUUGUUUCAUUUCAUGUGGAAUACGUGCCCUACUUCUAUUUGGAAAGGUAUAUGUAAAUUCUCUGUUUUUCCUCGCUCUGUCUCUCUG
rnacentral:lncRNA from 1 species